UAAGCAUAUCAAUAAGCGGAGGAAAAGAAACUAACAAGGAUUCCCCUAGUAACUGCGAGUGAAGCGGGAAAAGCUCAAAUUUAAAAUCUGGCAGCCUUUGGUUGUCCGAGUUGUAAUCUAGAGAAGUGUUAUCCGCGCUGGACCGUGUACAAGUCUCCUGGAAUGGAGCGUCAUAGAGGGUGAGAAUCCCGUCUUUGACACGGACUGCCAGGGCUUUGUGAUGCGCUCUCAAAGAGUCGAGUUGUUUGGGAAUGCAGCUCAAAAUGGGUGGUAAAUUCCAUCUAAAGCUAAAUAUUGGCGAGAGACCGAUAGCGAACAAGUACCGUGAGGGAAAGAUGAAAAGAACUUUGGAAAGAGAGUUAAACAGUACGUGAAAUUGCUGAAAGGGAAACGCUUGAAGUCAGUCGCGUUGUCCAGGGAUCAACCUUGCUUUUGCUUGGUGCACUUUCUGGUUGACGGGUCAGCAUCAAUUUUGACUAUUGGAAAAAGAUUAGGGGAAUGUGGCAUCUUCGGAUGUGUUAUAGCCUUUAGUUGUAUACAAUGGUUGGGAUUGAGGAACUCAGCACGCCGCAAGGCCGGGUUUUUAACCACGUACGUGCUUAGGAUGCUGGCAUAAUGGCUUUAAUCGACCCGUCUUGAAACACGGACCAAGGAGUCUAACAUGCCUGCGAGUGUUUGGGUGGAAAACCCGAGCGCGUAAUGAAAGUGAAAGUUGAGAUCCCUGUCGUGGGGAGCAUCGACGCCCGGACCAGACCUUUUGUGACGGUUCCGCGGUAGAGCAUGUAUGUUGGGACCCGAAAGAUGGUGAACUAUGCCUGAAUAGGGUGAAGCCAGAGGAAACUCUGGUGGAGGCUCGUAGCGAUUCUGACGUGCAAAUCGAUCGUCAAAUUUGGGUAUAGGGGCGAAAGACUAAUCGAACCAUCUAGUAAGCUGGUUCCUGC
rnacentral:rRNA from 1 species